rnacentral:tRNA from 1 species
GGCUACGUAGCUCAGUUGGUAAGAGCACAGCACUCAUAAUGCUGGAGUCACAGGUUCGAGUCCCGUCGUAGCCA